rnacentral:rRNA from 1 species
UUGAGUAUUUGUAUUUUUGGACAAACCACCAUCUUUUGAAAACCCAAUAAAAAUAAGAUUCACAUAGCUUAAAUAUGUAAGCAUCUGAUUAAAUAGUUGGUGAGGGAAUAGCUUACCAAGACAAUAAUCAGUAGCUAGUUCGAGACACGUCCUAGACUUCUACGGGAGGUAGCAAUGAAAGUCUUUUCGCAAUGGACGAAAAUCUGACGAAG